rnacentral:misc_RNA from 1 species
GGUCAUUUAUCACAGUAAGCUCUAGCUUUUGCUUUGGUCUUAGAGACGUCAUGUAUUACUAUGUAAUUAUCAUAUCAGCAUGAAGCCUAUUUUAAGCAUUUGAACAUGUUUGAAUGUUGUAUAAGGGACGUACUUUCCCUGUUGAUGUAGUACAUGUAGGUACAGGAAUACAAUUGUGCCUAUGAAUUUUAAGUAAAAAUUUAUUUUACAAUCUAUUUACUUUUACUUGCAUUUAUUAUUCUUUAAUCCAGUUAAAACGCAAUAAAAUAUAUCUUUU